rnacentral:rRNA from 1 species
UACAGAGGGGGCAAGCGUUGUUCGGAAUUACUGGGCGUAAAGGGCGCGUAGGCGGCCUUCUAAGUCGAACGUGAAAUCCCCGGGCUCAACCCGGGAACUGCGUCCGAUACUGGAAGGCUUGAAUCCGGGAGAGGGAUGCGGAAUUCCAGGUGUAGCGGUGAAAUGCGUAGAUAUCUGGAGGAACACCGGUGGCGAAGGCGCAUCC